GCAGAACCUGCGAACAGAGCAGCAACAACCAUGGAGGGCUCGCUACACUGACCUCAGCACCUUCUGGCCUGGGGCCUGAGCAGCCAUCCCCAGCCAUCCCCUGAGCUGGAGCUGCCAUCCCCACAAGUCCCUGACCACACGAGGCAGAGGUGCACUUCAGGUGUGCAAGGGCUGAACUGGUACCACCCGCCUCAGACCAACCAGGAGCUUGGGUGUUCUGUAAGGGACACGGCCAGGAGGGAGGUGGACACCCUGGACUUGAGGGUGUGUCAUCCCCAUGAACAGAAGAGGAGGAGUCCUCAGAGCCAGUGAAAGGUGUGCUCAGGCGUGUCCUGAGAGAUGAGCAUGCUUCUUCGCACACAGGGGACAUCCCUGAGCAUGGCCUCAGCCUCCGAGGAGCCAGUCACAUAAGACCAGCUGUGAUGAUGUGCAGAGGCAACGAUGAACGGGAACAGAGCCUUUCUGCCCCCCCCCCCCCCGCCCCCGAGACCAGAGCACCAGGAAGGUGGGGAGCAAGAAAGGAGACGCAGCAAAGAUGGCGUGGGGCCAGGCUGCAGGUGUGCGUGGGCGCCCCCACCACUCCUAACGCACCCAGGAGCAUCCACACCAGAAAACAGCAGCGACACGCUCCCUAGGAGUUGUGCAGUAACCAAGGUGUAUCAGAGACGUCCACAAGGAGAGGAGAGCAGUGACUGAGAGGAGAGUCGGCCUACCUCAGGCAGAAGAGCGAGGACUCCUUGGUGUGGCACGUCAGGAGGCUGUCGAGGAACCUGGGGACAGGAAGGCUGCUGGCCGGGGCAAGAGGGCCUGGCUCCACCUCCGGGAGUGCAGACCCAGGCUCACCCAGGUGGACAACCAGGGCAGCCAAGCCCAGCACAUGUGAGGCACUCAAGCGUGGGCCCUGAAGAGAGGGACAAGUGGCAGAGCUGGUGACAGCCCCCCAGCCAGAAGGCUCCUGUGCUUGGAGGACUAGCCAGGCUGCCCAGCCCUUGGAGCAGCCCCCGUGUGGCCUGCAUGAAGGGGGAGCCUACCUGGUGGUGGAGCAGCUGGCAGAGGCGGGUAAGGACUGCAGGCAGCAGCGUAGGUCCACACAGGGUCCUCACAAAGAAGGCUGCCCAGGGACCCUGCCUGUAGAUAACAGAGGUGAGGCCCUGGCCCCUCACAGCCCCACACACCACUCCCACAGCUGAUCCAGGUGCAGAGGCCUACAAAGGGCCAGGUCAUUCCUCCAAACAGGGACCAAGGACAACAAGACUUCUACAAAUCCCCACUUUUUGGAAGUCGGCCUGGACACCUGCUCCUGGAAGUUGAGCUCACUCCGGCCUGGCCUGCUAUCUUGAUGCCCCAGGACAGCCCAGGAUCACCCAGUCAAACUCCUGAGCCCUUACCUCUCUGGAGGGGCAGAGCUGGAGGCCACCAUCAGGCUCUGACAGAAAGCUGAGAGCAGGAGGUCCACCACCUGGGAGGGACAUGGCCACCAACGGCUGUAGCUCCCACCACUAGCAACGGGAAGCAGCCUGUGCAAGCAUGGGGAGAUGGCAGGGCAGCUGGUCCCGGGACCCCCACCCCUGCCGAUUCCAGGACUCGUCCAGGACUUGGAAAUCAAUGCUGAGCAGCCGAAAAGGGUGAGUAGAGACUCAGGCCUGGGGCUGCAGAAGGUGUCUGCAGCCAGGACGCACACAAACGGGCUGGCUGGCCUGGGCAGGGAGGGCCCAGGUCUUUGAAGCCUGACCCAGCUCCUGACAUAACCUACGAAGCGGCUGGUGCCACAGCCUGCACCCACCAGCUGCUCCUGCUGCUGAAGUUCUGGAGCAAGGACGUUGAGCUGAAUCCUCCCUCUGCCACGGGGGCUGUCAUCCUCACCAUGCCCCAAGGCCGCGCUCAGUCGUUCAGAAACCACGGCCAUCUGAGCAGAUAUAACUGCAGGUAGAGAAACCAGUCAGGGAAGACAGGACACGGGGUAGACCAGUGCUCAGGGGCUGACAUGGCCUCGCAGAAAGCUAAAAAGCCUCGGCCACCAGCUGGCUCCCACACCCCAGCCAGGCAGUGGCAAAGCUCAUUCUCAUUGGGGGAGGCAGUGAUCAGACCACGGACACACGGGGACCUAUGCCUCGUGACACUUGAGCACAUGUGGUGUGGACAUGCUGGGCCUGCUUCCAUUGCUCCUUCUUCGGGGAUCAGCCUUUGGCUUCUGAAACCCCAGCCCAACCCUCCCACACGGCACUGGACAGCCGGGGCGAGACGAAGGCCGACCACCCCACUCAAGCAUGCAAACCUGUGGCUCAGGAAGCAGCUGAGCUGACCUUUUCAGGUUCUGGCUUAAGAGCAGAACUCUUCACAGUGCCCUCCAAGGGCCACGUCCUGGCCAGGCCUGGCAGCACAGGCCUGUGGUGCUACCACUGGGGAGACUGAGGCAGGGGCAUCACUAGAGCCCAGGUGUUUGAGUCUAGCAAGCCCAGCUUCAAAAAACACAACAAGAGCACCCCAGGACCACGCGAGCACGGCUCUGAAAGGCUGUGUCUCCAGCCUGUGCAGGCGGCCUCAGGGAGGGGCUGCACCCCAGAGCUGCAGUGCUGCGGGGCUGUUUGUGUGACAACUGAAACUGGUUACUCUGUGUGACGGUGGGCGUGGUUUGUUCCCAGGGUGGUGGCAUUGGUGGGUGUGGUGGGGUCCCAGGGGCAUCACCUCACAAGGCCUGCUGUGGUUCUCCAGGACACUACUGGGCCUCCCAGGAGGCUGAGAGACUGUCACAAAAGCACAGGCCUGAUGGUCCUGGUCUCUCUGGCCUCCUGCUUGCCUGUGCCCUUCUGCACAUACAGUCAAGCCUGGGACUGCCUGCCUCCAGAACUGUGAACUAAAUAUAUCUUAUUUCUUUAAAGAUUA